ensembl:lncRNA
CUGAAAGGGAAGGUGAGCAGUCAACAGGAUCUGAGACAGCUGUGAGCCACAGAGACACAACACCCCCAGCCUACUGCCUGCUCUGCUGGCUGAACCCAGAGCCCACCACAGGGAGGGGUGGCUGCAGCUGUCCCCAGCAAGCCAGGCACGCCCUGGGCUGCAAACAUCAUGCACAUUGUAUGGGAGUUACUGAACAUGCCUUAUCCUCACACUGUUGCACUGCACUGACUUCUUUUUGAGACAAAAUUAUCAAGGUAAGAAACACUUCACUGUUCAGGAGAAUUUUUCAGACAUUGAUACAGCAAGAAAUUGGAAGAGUGAGAGUUCAAUAUGCAGCCACACACAAACCACAGCUGGGCUCGGUGCUCAGUGGAGCAGUCACAUGUGGGUUUGUAUUUGUCUCUAAAACUGCAUCUUUCCACAGUUAUCACAGCUGUGUUGCCAGAGCAAAACCCUUCCAAGCAGAGCACAACAAAGUUCCUUGUGAGGUGGCAGCUGGGCAGGAAAUCCAAGCCUACUGCAACACUAAAACUGAUCAUUCACCACAGUGCGUGCUGCUCCAUGAGUAAGCUGGAGAGACAGAUGACACAGACAAUGAAGUCGCACUAGGUGAUUAUAACAAAAUAUGACAAGGCAUUUAUGCAGCUCCAUUCAGCAGCAUUUCAUUUCAUUAGAGUUCAUUACUGCAUAGCAGAACACCUCUGAAGAGUUUAUUUAAAGAUGGAGAAGGGAAUGGGGCAGGCUGGGUGCAGUGGCAAAAAAGACCAGAGGAAACAGUUAAGACAUAUUUCUUAAUAUGUCUUAAUAAUUUCUCCUGCUGCACCAGGUUUCACAUUGUGCCUUCAGUGGGUUUUGAUGUGAAAAGAGCCUUGAAAGAACAACUGAGGAACUGGUUUUGGGCUCCUGACAUGGUAACUUAGAUCUUGGUGGACACUCACAAUGGGCUGGUGGGACCCAGAACAGCAGAGUUCCAUUUCUAGAAUCUCCUUUAACUGGUGGACUUGUGCUCUUUCCUAGAAACCUUCUGAAAUGACUUCCCACCAUUUAAUCAGUAGCAGAGAUGAUGUCAGUGCAACCAGCUCAAGUAUUCCACAAGAUAACAUCUAUAUGUGCCCACAGCAGUCCAGGGGUUAAGUACAACACUUGCCAAUCCCAGUUCUGCCACCACUGAUUAACAAAAUGAUCUAAUGAAUAUAGCACUGUGCACCUCAAGCAAACUCAGCCACAACCAUUAGCAAUUAGAGGAAACCUCUUGGAGAAACUAAAUGAAGGUUGAAGCUAUGAUUUUUUUCAUUGUAGCUCUUUUGCCUGUUACAGGGUGUUAAGAAGUGUGGGUCUGGAGGUGGACCAGAUGACUUCUGGAGACUCGACAUCAAAACCACCAGAGACAGCUCUGGUCUCCAUCCCUCCUGGUGGCAGGAGGCAUUAGAGCCACAUCAGCUGUGGCUGCUACACGACACACAUAAGCUCUGAGACACAAGGGUACCUCUAUGGUGGCAAAAGUCAUGGAGACUGCUCCUGGUCACUGCACUAGUCACUCAUGGUGCUGGAAAGGUUAGACUUUGCAAUGGCCUCCCUGAAGGAAGGAUUAUCUUCUCUAUGGUCUUUCAGAUCAGACAAGUGGCGUUAACUCUUUGUGUGUCAGCUGUAGGGAGCCUGGCCUGCCAUCACUGGUGUACACAGACCCAGCCUGUACCCUUCAAACACAACCAAAGUUUGUUCUGAGAGCAUAGGCUUCAGUCAGGAGCAGACUAACCCUGCAAAGGAUGCUGAAGGUUGAAGACUGGUUUGCACAGAAGCACCUUGGCAUUUAUUUUGUGAUCAGCUGCAGCCCACAAAAGUGGCAAUUAAUAUACUGUGUGCGUAAGCCUUGGCACGCAGGAGGCAGGAGAAGGACACAAUAGGUCACCAGCCCUUCACGAAAAAUGCCCAUUCCUUUCUUUGCACAGUGCUGAACAAAUCAUAAAACCCUCUCCCAUGCUGUCAAUGUCAUGGUAGGGCAUAAGCAAUAGGAGCCCUGGAGACAAAGCCAUUGAUGAGUGAAGUGCCUAACGUCCUAGGCCAAGGCUGUGAUUUGUAACCACUGAAGUGGACCAAAGCAGCUCAUCUCUCUCCUCCUCCCCAAAAUAAAGCUAAAACAAAGGAGUCA